rnacentral:rRNA from 1 species
UACGGAGGGUGCGAGCGUUGUCCGGAAUUACUGGGCGUAAAGGGCGCGUAGGCGGUUGGAUAAGUCAGCUGUGAAAACCACGGGCUUAACUCGUGGCCUGCAGUUGAGACUGUCUGGCUUGAGUGUGGGAGAGGAGAGUGGAAUUCCUGGUGUAGCGGUGAAAUGCGUAGAUAUCAGGAGGAACACCGGUGGCGAAGGCGGCUCUCUGGACCACAACUGACGCUGAGGCGCGAAAGCUAGGGGAGCAAACAGG